rnacentral:rRNA from 1 species
AGAGCGAACGCUGGCGGCAUGCUUAACACAUGCAAGUCGCACGGGCAUUUCGGUGUCAGUGGCGGACGGGUGAGUAACGCGUAGGUAUCUAUCCUUGGGUGGGGGAUAACGGCUGGAAACGGCUGCUAAUACCGCAUGAUAACUGAGGUUCAAAGGCGCAAGUCGCCUGGGGAGGAGCCUGCGUACGAUUAGCUAGUUGGUGGGGUAAAGGCCUACCAAGGCUGCGAUCGUUAGCUGGUCUGAGAGGAUGAUCAGCCACAUUGGGACUGAGACACGGCCCAAACUCCUACGGGAGGCAGCAGUGGGGAAUAUUGGACAAUGGGCGAAAGCCUGAUCCAGCAAUGCCGCGUGUGUGAAGAAGGUCUUCGGAUUGUAAAGCACUUUCGACGGGGACGAUGAUGACGGUACCCGUAGAAGAAGCCCCGCUAACUUCGCGCCAGCAGCCGC